rnacentral:rRNA from 1 species
CGGGAGGUAGUGACAAUAAAUAAUCGAAUAUAGGGCUCUUUUGAGUCUUGAUAAUUGGAAUGAGUACAAUUUAAAUCUCUUAACGAAGAACAAUUGGAGGGCAAGUCUGGUGCCAGCAGCCGGGGUAAUUCCAGCUCCAAAUUAGCGUAUAUUAAAGUUGUUGCAGUUAAAAAAGCUCGUAGUUUGAAUUUCAAACCUGGCGGGUGGUCCGCUUAACGGGUGUACUG